ACCAGUCCAAAUUGAUUUCUAGGCCCUCCACCUGGUGCCUGGUCGUGUCCUACUCCUUUCCAUAUCUCACCAGUCUGUCCGCUGCAAGGAUCUGGUACAUUAUUACCAUUUGGAAUAUCAUUUCUAAACCAUGGGAAUCCAAAAACAACAGCUGUCAAGGCUAAAUAUACAAUUUCUCUGAACAUGACCGCUCUAUUGAAGUACUUCAAAAAUAUGAAAGUGUGUUUGUCUCCCUUUGCAAGAAAUCACAUGGAAUGGUUCAGCCUUUAUC
rnacentral:lncRNA from 1 species